AAGAAGAAGAAGAAGAAGAAGAAAAAAAUGGCAAAGCACUAGUUUGAUUCGAUAGAUAGUUUUUUUUUUUUACACAAUACACUUUAUUAUUUUCUUUUCUUUGAUUGUU
rnacentral:ribozyme from 14 species